rnacentral:tRNA from 1 species
GCCGGGGUGGCAGAGUGGUCUAUUGCGCAGGCCUUGAGAGCCUGUGACCCUUCGGGGUCUCGUGGGUUCAAAUCCCACCCCUGGCG